GCCUGGCUGGCUCGGUCGGGAGAGCAUGUGACUCUCGAUCGCGGGGUUGUGAGUUCGAAUCUCACACUGGGUG
rnacentral:tRNA from 1 species